rnacentral:lncRNA from 1 species
UAAAGAUUCAAGAACUCUCAGCUCCUGCUCCAGCACCGUGUCUGUCGUGCUCCGGGAUAUGCUCCCCCCCACCAUGAUGACAAUGGACUAAAGCUCUGAAACUAGCCAGUGAGAAGAGCCAGAUGGAAACUAAGGACCUCUGUUUACGACUGAACAGUGCUAGGAUUGCAAGCCUGCUCUGCCAAGCCUGGUUUAUUCGGAGACGGAACCCAGGUCCUCAAGCAUGCCAGGCAAGCUGUGUUCCAGUUCCAACCACAGUUACAUUGGGAAGGAGGCUCAUGUGCACACACAGAUGUGUGCCACAGUUAUAUGGUUGAUUGUUCUCUGCGAGAACACAGUCUUCUUGUUGC